AGAGUUUGAUCCUGGCUCAGAACGAACGCUGGCGGCAGGCUUAACACAUGCAAGUCGAACGCUCAUCUUCGGGUGGGAGUGGCAGACGGGUGAGUAACGCGUGGGAACGUACCCUUUGGUUCGGAACAACGCCGGGAAACUGGCGCUAAUACCGGAUACGCCCUUUUGGGGAAAGGCUUGACUGCCGAAGGAGCGGCCCGCGUUCGAUUAGCUUGUUGGUGGGGUAACGGCCCACCAAGGCGACGAUCGAUAGCUGGUCUGAGAGGAUGGCCAGCCACAUUGGGACUGAGACACGGCCCAAACUCCUACGGGAGGCAGCAGUGGGGAAUAUUGGACAAUGGGCGCAAGCCUGAUCCAGCCAUGCCGCGUGAGUGAUGACGGCCUUAGGGUUGUAAAGCUCUUUCGCACGCGACGAUAAUGACGGUAGCGUGAGAAGAAGCCCCGGCUAACUUCGUG
rnacentral:rRNA from 1 species